GACGUAGGGGGCGAGCGUUGUCCGGAUUUAUUGGGCGUAAAGCGCGCGCAGGCGGCUCGGAAAGUCGGGUGUGAAAACCCGGGGCUCAACCCCGGACCUGCAUCCGAUACUCCCGGGCUAGAGGCAGGUAGGGGAGAGUGGAAUUCCUGGUGUAGCGGUGAAAUGCGCAGAUAUCAGGAAGAACACCCGUGGCGAAGGCGGCUCUCUGGGACGGUACUGACGCUGAGACGCGAAAGCGUGGGGAGCGAACAGG
rnacentral:rRNA from 1 species